AGCCGAUGAUGAUUUCCUUUUUUUCUGACACCUCGUAUGAACGCUGUAUGCUAGCGGAUGUUUCUACUUUGUUAUAUAAUCUGAGGCUC